GACGAACGCUGGCGGCGUGCUUAACACAUGCAAGUCGAACGUGAUUUUUGUGGAAAUUCUUUCGGGAAUGGAAAUGAAAUGAAAGUGGCGAACGGGUGAGUAACACGUGAGCAACCUACCUUACACAGGGGGAUAGCCGUUGGAAACGACGAUUAAUACCGCAUGAGACCACAGAAUCGCAUGAUAUAGGGGUCAAAGAUUUAUCGGUGUAAGAAGGGCUCGCGUCUGAUUAGCUAGUUGGAAGGGUAAAGGCCUACUAAGGCGACGAUCAGUAGCCGGUCUGAGAGGAUGAACGGCCACAUUGGAACUGAGACACGGUCCAAACUCCUACGGGAGGCAGCAGUGGGGAAUAUUGCACAAUGGGGGGAACCCUGAUGCAGCGACGCCGCGUGAGCGAAGAAGGUUUUCGAAUCGUAAAGCUCUGUCCUAUGAGAAGAUAAUGACGGUAUCAUAGGAGGAAGCCCCGGCUAAAUACGUG
rnacentral:rRNA from 1 species